rnacentral:rRNA from 1 species
GUUAUACCUUUGUCAUUGACGUUAGAAGAAGCACCGGCUAACUCCGUGCCAGCAGCCGCGGUAAUACGGAGGGUGCAAGCGUUAAUCGGAAUUACUGGGCGUAAAGCGCACGCAGGCGGUUUGUUAAGUCAGAUGUGAAAUCCCCGGGCUCAACCUGGGAACUGCAUUGAUACUGGCAAGCUUGAGUCUCGUAGAGGGGGGUAGAAUUCCAGGUGUAGCGGUGAAAUGCGUAGAGAUCUGGAGGAAUACCGGUGGCGAAGGCGGCCCCCUGGACAAAGAUUGACGCUCAAGUGCGAAAGCGUGGGGAGCAAACAUGAUUAUAUACCCUGGUAGUCCAU